AGGGUUUGAUCAUGGCUCAGAUUGAACGCUGGCGGCAUGCCUAACACAUGCAAGUCGAACGGAAACAGGACGCUGUGAUCUCUUCGGAGUGAACUUGUCGCUGUCGAGUGGCGGACGGGUGAGUAAUGCAUAGGAAAUUGCCUCGAAGUGGGGGAUAGCCCGGAGAAAUCCGGAUUAAUACCGCAUGUGCUCUACGGAGCAAAGCGGGCCUCUGAUUUAAGCUCGCGCUUUGAGAUAUGCCUAUGUCGGAUUAGCUAGUUGGUAGGCUAAAAGCCUACCAAGGCAACGAUCCGUAGCUGGUUUGAGAGGAUGAUCAGCCACACUGGGACUGAGACACGGCCCAGACUCCUACGGGAGGCAGCAGUGGGGAAUAUUGGACAAUGGGCGCAAGCCUGAUCCAGCAAUGCCGCGUGUGUGAAGAAGGCCUGCGGGUUGUAAAGCACUUUUAUCGGGAAAGAAAUCCUUAGGGUUAAUAACUCUAAGGCUUGACGGUACCCGAAGAAUAAGGACCGGCUAACUCAGUGCCAGCAGCCGCGGUAAUACUGAGGGUCCAAGCGUUAAUCGGAAUUACUGGGCGUAAAGCGAGUGUAGGCGGCUUUCGUAAGUCGGAUGUGAAAGCCCUGGGCUUAACCUGGGAAAUUGCCAUUC
rnacentral:rRNA from 1 species